UCAAGCUGAUCUGCCCAGGGUAAGUCGGGACCUAAGGCGAGGCCGACAGGCGUAGUCGAUGGAUAACCGAUUGAUAUUCCGGUACCCGCUGUGAAGCGUCAAACAUCGAAUCCAGUGAUGCUAAGCCCGUGAAGCCGUUCCGGACCCUUCGGGGAAAGGAAAGUGGUGGAGCCGGUGACCCGAUCUGGUAGUAGGUGAGUGAUGGGGUGACGCAGGAAGGUAGUCCAGCCCGGGCGGUGGUUGUCCCGGGGUAAGGGUGUAGGCCGUGCGGUAGGUAAGUCCGUCGCACACGAAGGCUGAGACCUGAUGCCGAGCCGAUUGUGGUGAAGUGGAUGAUCCUAUGCUGUCGAGGAAAGCCUCUAGCGAGUUUCAUGGCGGCCCGUACCCUAAACCGACUCAGGUGGUCAGGUAGAGAAUACCGAGGCGUUCGGGUGAACUAUGGUUAAGGAACUCGGCAAAAUGCCCCCGUAACUUCGGGAGAAG
rnacentral:ncRNA from 1 species